GACGAACGCUGGCGGCGUGCUUAACACAUGCAAGUCGAACGGAAAGGCCCUGCUUUUGUGGGGUGCUCGAGUGGCGAACGGGUGAGUAACACGUGAGUAACCUGCCCUUGACUUUGGGAUAACUUCAGGAAACUGGGGCUAAUACCGGAUAGGAGCUCCUGCUGCAUGGUGGGGGUUGGAAAGUUUCGGCGGUUGGGGAUGGACUCGCGGCUUAUCAGCUUGUUGGUGGGGUAGUGGCUUACCAAGGCUUUGCCGGGUAGCCGGCCUGAGAGGGUGACCGGCCACAUUGGGACUGGGAUACGGCACAGACUCCUACGGGAGGCAGCAGUGGGGAAUAUUGCACAAUGGGCGGAAGCCUGAUGCAGCAACGCCGCGUGCGGGAUGACGGCCUUCGGGUUGUAAACCGCUUUCGCCUGUGACGAAGCGUGAGUGACGGUAAUGGGUAAAGAAGCACCGGCUAACUACGUG
rnacentral:rRNA from 1 species